UAUGUAAAUAAACAGAUUUAAAUUCAAUAUGUCCUUCAAAUAUUAUGUGCUGUUACUUACUUUGAGCCUAUUGUACUGCUAGAAGAAGAAGAAUGUUUUAGAUUCUUACUCAAAAGCUGUUCAAAAAUUAAAAGAUACCAAAUAUACUUCAGAUUUACAAACAGAAGUUAAGAAAAUUUGUCAACGACCAAAACGUAAAUGAAAAGCAAGGUCUUGCUUUAGUGUUAAGGCAAUAGCUUGAUGAUGUUGAAAAUGAUAGUGUUUACCAGAUUAUUAAUCUUCAUAUUCACAAGAUAAUGAAGCAGCUAGAGUACUUGGUCAUAGUUAACAAUCAGAUGCAGCGCUAAUACGUGACAAUUUUUUAGAUAACAGUUUUGAAGACGAUUUUCAGA